rnacentral:misc_RNA from 1 species
CUGCACUCAAGCACGGAUUGUGUGUUGGGCUCCGUCCCCCGAUCCCGGGGGACGGGCCCGAAAGGAAGCGGCGGCACCGCGUCCGGUCCUCGAGCGUAUGGGGCUUUGUCACCCGCUCUGUAGGCCCGGCCGGCGCUUGCCGAUCAACCAAUUUUAUCCAGGUUGACCUCGGAUCAGGUGGGGAUACCCGCUGAACUUAA